rnacentral:rRNA from 1 species
AUUGAACGCUGGCGGCAGGCCUAACACAUGCAAGUCGAGCGCGCGGCGGACGGGUGAGUAAUGUAUGGGGACUGCCCGAUAGAGGGGGAUAACUACUGGAAACGGUAGCUAAUACCGCAUACUAUCGGAUAACCCAUAUGGGAUUAGCUAGUAGGUGAGGUAAUGGCUCACCUAGGCGACGAUCCCUAGCUGGUCUGAGAGGAUGAUCAGCCACACUGGGACUGCGACACGGCCCAGACUCCUACGGGGGCAGCAGUGGGGAAUAUUGCACAAUGGGCGCAAGCCUGAUGCAGCAAUGCCGCGGGUAUGAAGAAGGCCCUAGGGUUGUAAAGUACUUUUGGCAGGGAAGCGGUAUCUGCAGAAUAAGCACCGGCUAACUACGUGCCAGCAGCCGCGGUAAUAC